CACACAACCUAACUUUCAUGAAACACUGGUAAGCUUAGCAGACUUUAUCAAAGACUGGACCAAGAGCAGAGGAAGUCAAGUAGACUCUCUGAGGACAUAAAAAACAAAGGGAUGGCCAACCUCCCUUCUCCCCAGUCCUUCCUUGUGGGUGUUUGUUUAUUAAUGGAGUGGAGUGAAACCCUGAAAGCUGUGCCCUUGCUCUGAAGUUCUGAUUGUAAUGGAAACAGUUGCCAGGGGGUGAAGUGUCACCGUGGUUAUCUACUGAUCAAGGACAGCAUGCCUGAGAGAGAGAGCAGCCAGAGCCUCUGCCUGUCAAGACAAGCCUCAUUCCGCCUCCACUCGCUCUGCCCUGCCAGUGGCUAAUUGAUUUGUGAAAACGCUUGGAGGUAGUCUGAGUGAGAAAGACACUUUAUGUCUGCUUACGACAAAUCCUCGGAGGAACAAAAAAUCCAUUUCAUGCACACAUUCCCCUGCUUGAGUCUUUCUUCCAUUCAAUUCCCAAUUAGCUAAAUCUUCAGCACCCAAAGAACUAAGCAGAUGAAAAAAAUCUUCUGAUGGCCAGCUCCUGCCAAACAGAGAGAAUGGCACAUACAGAAAAGAAACCUGCAUCAAUGGUAAUAAAAUAAAAUAAAAAUGAGGAACAGAAAAGCAGGCAGUAAGGAAGGAAAAUGGCCCUCUGGCCUUUAAGCUACAAUUUAAGAGAAUAACUAAAUCCAAAAGUCAAGUUCUAACAGUGACCAGUAACAAGAAUAACUCAUGAAAAGCCUGAAUCCUGUAGUGCAACCUCCUGGCAACCUCAUUUAACACAAGUAAAUUCUAGUACACUGAUUUUCUGUUGACGUCCAGCAAUCAGUCUAGUGUCUCUA
rnacentral:lncRNA from 1 species